CCUACGGGUGGCUGCAGUAAGGAAUAUUGGUCAAUGGGCGAAAGCCUGAACCAGCCAUCCAGCGUGCAGGAAGAAGGCCCUAUGGGUUGUAAACUGCUUUUAUCAGGGAAGAAACCUCUGGAUUUACUCCGGAGCUGACGGUACCUGAAGAAUAAGCACCGGCUAACUCCGUGCCAGCAGCCGCGGUAAUACGGAGGGUGCGAGCGUUAUCCGGAAUUACUGGGUUUAAAGGGUGCGUAGGCGGCUUUGUAAGUCAGGAGUGAAAGUUUGCGGCU
rnacentral:rRNA from 1 species